UAAACCACCACUGAGACCCUUGAG
rnacentral:siRNA from 1 species